rfam:Schistosoma haematobium scaffold471_6, whole genome shotgun sequence.
AUUCAGCUGACAAGUCCCAAAUAAGAUGAAAUAUGCGUCCUGGAU